rfam:Picea glauca, whole genome shotgun sequence.
AUGUAGAUGCAUACAACAUAGUGUUAAUGCACUGGAUCCCAUUAGAAAUCAAUAGUUAAGCACGCUCAGGCUAGAGUAGUACUGGGAAUGGUGACCACUCAAGAAGUCCUAGUGUUUUACAUG